AACGAACGCUGGCGGCAGGCCUAACACAUGCAAGUCGAGCGCCCCGCAAGGGGAGCGGCGGACGGGUGAGUAACGCGUGGGAACGUACCCUUUGCUACGGAAUAGCCUCGGGAAACUGGGAGUAAUACCGUAUGUGCCCUUCGGGGGAAAGAUUUAUCGGCAAAGGAUCGGCCCGCGUUGGAUUAGGUAGUUGGUGGGGUAAUGGCCUACCAAGCCGACGAUCCAUAGCUGGUUUGAGAGGAUGAUCAGCCACACUGGGACUGAGACACGGCCCAGACUCCUACGGGAGGCAGCAGUGGGGAAUCUUAGACAAUGGGCGCAAGCCUGAUCUAGCCAUGCCGCGUGAGCGAUGAAGGCCUUAGGGUUGUAAAGCUCUUUCAGGGGGGAAGAUAAUGACUGUACCCCCAGAAGAAGCCCCGGCUAACUCCGUGCCAGCAGCCGCCGCGGUAA
rnacentral:rRNA from 1 species